UACGUAGGGUGCAAGCGUUAAUCGGAAUUACUGGGCGUAAAGCGCGCGCAGGCGGUUGUGCAAGACAGAUGUGAAAUCCCCGGGUUCAACCUGGGAAUUGCAUUUGUGACUGCACGGCUAGAGUGUGUCAGAGGGGGGGUAGAAUUCCACGUGUAGCAGUGAAAUGCGUAGAGAUGUGGAGGAAUACCGAUGGCGAAGGCAGCCCCCUGGGAUAACACUGACGCUCAUGCACGAAAGCGUGGGGAGCAAACAGG
rnacentral:rRNA from 1 species